UACGGAGGGGCUAGCGUUGUUCGGAAUUACUGGGCGUAAAGCGCACGUAGGCGGCUUUGCAAGUUAGAGGUGAAAGCCCGGGGCUCAACUCCGGAAUUGCCUUUAAAACUGCAUCGCUAGAAUUGUGGAGAGGUAAGUGGAAUUCCGAGUGUAGAGGUGAAAUUCGUAGAUAUUCGGAAGAACACCAGUGGCGAAGGCGACUUACUGGACACAUAUUGAUGCUGAGGUGCGAAAGCGUGGGGAGCAAACAGG
rnacentral:rRNA from 1 species